rnacentral:lncRNA from 1 species
UCUUUAAAAAAAUUUACGCUUUCCAAAUUGAGAAAACUUCAGGAAUUUCAACAUGCAAACUAAAGUCACCUUCGUAUUGCUUUUAGUGUGUAUUGCAGUCAGUUACGUUAACUGUAUUGUCGCAGGUGGGAAUAACAUGCACGGAGAUUAUGUAAAAUCACUGAAAAACAAGUUAUCUAUGGAUGGAAAGGUAGCUUGUGAAUGUUG